rnacentral:rRNA from 1 species
UACAGAGGUGGCAAGCGUUGUUCGGAAUUACUGGGCGUAAAGGGCGCGUAGGCGGCCUUCUAAGUCAGACGUGAAAUCCCCCGGCUUAACCUGGGAACUGCGUCUGAUACUGGAGGGCUUGAGUGCGGGAGAGGGAUGUGGAAUUCCAGGUGUAGCGGUGAAAUGCGUAGAUAUCCGGAAGAACACCGAUGGCGAAGGCAACCACCUGGGCCUGCACUGACGCUGAGGUACGAAAGCGUGGGGAGCAAACAGG